ensembl:snoRNA SNORD115 Small nucleolar RNA SNORD115
UGGUCAAUGAUGAGAACUUAUCUUGUUGAAGACAGGUGAUGACAUAAAAUUCAUGCUCAAUUGGAUUAUGCUGAACCCU